rnacentral:lncRNA from 1 species
GGCCAAGAUAAAGCAAAGCAGUGCGACACAAACAACAACACAGAGUUACACAUGGAGUAAAACAAACGUACAGUCUAUAACGCAAUAGGAAAAAGUCUAUAUACAGUGAGUGCAAAUGAGGUCAGAUAAGGGAGGAAAGGCAAUAAAAUAGGCCAUAGUGGCAAAAUAAUUACAAUAUAGCAAUUAAACACUGGAAUGGUAGAUGUGCAGAAGAUGAAUGUGCAAGUAGAGAUACUGGGGUGUAUAGGAGCAAGAUAAAUAAAUAAAUACAGUAUGGGGAUGAGGUAGGUAGAUGAAUGGGCUGUUUACAGAUGGGCUAUGUACAGGUGCAGUGAUCUGUGAGCUGCUCUGACAGCUGGUGCUUAAAGCUAGUGAGGGAGAUAUGAGUCUCCAGCUUCAGAGAUUUUUGCAGUUCGUUCCAGUCAUUGGCAGCAGAGAACUGGAAGGAGAGACGGCCAAAGGAGGAGUUGGCUUUAGGGGUGACCAGUGAGAUAUACCUGCUGGAGCGCGUGCUACGGGUGGGUGCUGCUAUGGUGACCAGUGAGCAGAGAUAAGGCGUGGCUUUACCUAGCAGAGACUUGUAGAUGACCUGGAGCCAGUGGGUUUGGCGAUGAAUGUGCAGCGAGGGCCAGCCAACGAGAGCAUUCAGGUCGCAGUGGUGGGUAGUAUAUGGGGUUUUGGUGACAAAACGGAUGGCACUGUGAUAGACUGCAUCCUGUUUGCUGAGUAGAGUGUUGGAGGCUAUUUUAUAGAUGACAUCACCGAAGUCAAGGAUCGGUAAGAUGGUCAGUUUUACGAGGGUAUGUUUGGCAGCAGGAGGGAAGGAUGCAAAAGUAAUGUUUGGAAAUAUAGCCUAUAUAUGAACUACAUGUAUCAACUUUCACAGUGAAGGCUUUUAUUUAUACAUUGUGUGUGAAUGAAUUGAACAUCGCCAAACGCAUCACUAAACAAUAUUGUGCCUAUUUAAUGCAACCCUGUUAAUAGAAGGGAAAGCCUCAUACAGCUGACCUAACCGCUUGGAACAAGUUCCCUUCUCAUCCAGAGCCCAGAAACACAGAUCAACUGCAGGUUAGCAGUUUAGCUCCCAUCUGAAGGCUGGGGGUAUUUAGGAAGUACUGUUUACUCCCAUCUGAAGGGCAUUUAGGAAGUACUGUUUACUCCCAUCUGAAGGCUGGGGGUAUUUAGGAAGUACUGUUUACUCCCA